rnacentral:rRNA from 1 species
GACGAACGCUGGCGGCGUGCCUAAUACAUGCAAGUUGAGCGCUGAAGGUUGGUACUUGUACCAACUGGAUGAGCAGAGAACGGGUGAGUAACGCGUGGGGAAUCUGCCUUUGAGCGGGGGACAACAUUUGGAAACGAAUGCUAAUACCGCAUAAAAACUUUAAACACAAGUUUUAAGUUUGAAAGAUGCAAUUGCAUCACUCAAAGAUGAUCCCGCGUUUUAUUAGCUAAUUGGUGAGGCAAAGGCUCACCAAGGGGAUGAUACAUAGCCGACCUGAGAGGGUGAUCGGCCACAUUGGGACUGAGACACGGCCCAAACUCCUACGAGAGGCAGCAGAAGCGAAUCGUCGGCAAUGGACGAAAGUCUGACCGAGCAACGCCGCGUGAGUGAAGAAGGUUUUCGGAGCGGAAAAAUCUGUUGGUAGAGAAGAACGUUGGUGGGAGGGGAAAGCGCAUCAAGUGACGGUAACUACCCAGAAAGGGACGGCUAACUACGUG